rnacentral:rRNA from 1 species
UGUCUGAUUAGCUAGUUGGUGAGGUAAAGGCUUACCAAGGCUUCGAUCAGUAGCUGGUCUGAGAGGACGACCAGCCACACUGGGACUGAGACACGGCCCAGACUCCUACGGGAGGCAGCAGUGGGGAAUUUUGGACAAUGGGGGAAACCCUGAUCCAGCCAUGCCGCGUGAGUGAAGAAGGCCUUCGGGUUGUAAAGCUCUUUCAGCCGGAACGAAACGGUCACGGCUAAUACCUGUGAUCACUGACGGUACCGGAAGAAGAAGCACCGGCUAACUACGUGCCAGCAGCCGCGGUAAUACGUAGGGUGCGAGCGUUAAUCGGAAUUACUGGGCGUAAAGCGUGCGCAGGCGGUUUUGUAAGUCAGAUGUGAAAUCCCCGGGCUCAACCUGGGAACUGCGUUUGA